GAUGAAGAACGUAGUGAAAUGCGAUAAGUAAUGUGAAUUGCAGAAUCUAGUGAAUCAUCGAGUCUUUGAACGCACAUUGCGCCCCCUGGUAUUCCGGGGGGCAUGCCUGUCCGAGCGUCAUUGCUGCCCUCAAGCACGGCUUGUGUGUUGGGCCUCCGUCCUCCUCCCGGGGGACGGGCCCGAAAGGCAGCGGCGGCACCGCGUCCGGUCCUCGAGCGUAUGGGGCUUCGUCACCCGCUCUUGUAGGCCCGGCCGGCGCUUGCCGACACAUCAAUCUUUUUUCCAGGUUGACCUCGGAUCAGGUAGGGAUACCCGCUGAACUUAAGCAUAUCAAUAAGCGGAGGA
rnacentral:misc_RNA from 1 species